rnacentral:lncRNA from 1 species
CCCGCAGCCUUGCGACCAACGGCCGGAAGCGGCUAAGACACUACUCCUGCCAAAUACCCUGCAGUAGCGCACCGCGCUAUGUCUCCCUCCAGGGAUCUGUACCACUCCCAAUCCUGUUUCGUGCUGGGAUUGUAGUCUUGUAAACCUACAACUAACACCUGGGUGCGGAUAAGAGACUACAGCUCCCAUCAUUCCCAGCAAAGGGCCGUUCUGCACCGAGCUCUUUCAGGAUUCCAGUGCAGUUCCGCCAUGCGGAGGGAAGCUUGGCUGUUCACAAACCUCUCCUGCACUCGAGGAGACAGCUUGGCCGGGGCAGCUGAUCUCACCUUGUCAUUGUGACACGGUGUCUCCCCAACGUGCCGACUUCAUGACUUGUCGUGCCCAAAGUUUACUUUCUCGCAGAACCGGUAGAGGCCAAGAGCUUCUCAGAGCUUCCGCCGCAGGGUUG